UGGCGGCGUGCCUAACACAUGCAAGUCGAACGGGGCUAUUAGCUUAAUCCCUCGGGAAGCGGCUUUAGCUUAGUGGCGAACGGGUGAGUAACGCGUGAGCAAUCUGCCUCUCAGAGGGGGGAUACCGUCUGGAAACGGACGUUAAUACCGCAUGAUGUAUCGAGAUCGCAUGGUCAUGAUACCAAAGGAGCAAUCCGCUGAGAGAUGAGCUCGCGUCUGAUUAGCCAGUUGGCGGGGUAACGGCCCACCAAAGCGACGAUCAGUAGCCGGACUGAGAGGUUGAACGGCCACAUUGGGACUGAGACACGGCCCAGACUCCUACGGGAGGCAGCAGUGGGGAGUAUUGCGCAAUGGGGGAAAUCCUGACGCAGCAACGCCGCGUGUGGGAAGAAGGUCUUCGGAUUGUAAACCAUUGUUCUGUGGGACGAAAAAUGACGGUACCACAGGAGAAAGCUCCGGCUAACUACGUGCCAGCAGCCGC
rnacentral:rRNA from 1 species